rnacentral:rRNA from 1 species
GGCCAGACUCCUACGGGAGGCAGCAGUGGGGAAUAUUGCACAAUGGGGGAAACCCUGAUGCAGCGACGCCGCGUGAGUGAAGAAGUAUUUCGGUAUGUAAAGCUCUAUCAGCAGGGAAGAAAAUGACGGUACCUGACCAAGAAGCCCCGGCUAACUACGUGCCAGCAGCCGCGGUAAUACGUAGGGGGCAAGCGUUAUCCGGAUUUACUGGGUGUAAAGGGAGCGUAGACGGUUGUGCAAGUCAGAAGUGAAAGCCCGGGGCUCAACUCCGGGACUGCUUUUGAAACUGUGAAACUGGAGUGCAGGAGAGGUAAGCGGAAUUCCUGGUGUAGCGGUGAAAUGCGUAGAUAUCAGGAGGAACACCGGCGGCGAAGGCGGCCUGCUGGACCGUGACUGACGUUGAGGCUCGAGAGCGUGGGGAGCAAACAGGAUUAGAUACCCCAGUA